AAGGAUCAUUAAUGAAUAUCUCAUCAAUUCAUUGAUAACACCCCCCUCUGUGAACACGUUACCCUGUUGCUUCCCGUGGGCCCGCCUCCCCCUGGGGGGGCGGAACCCGCCCGCGGGGAGGUCCGCAACUGAAACCCUUUUGUUUUUGUCAUGCCGUCUCUAGUCUGAAUCGAAAAACCAGAAACGUUAAAACUUUCAACAACGGAUCUCUUGGUUCUC
rnacentral:misc_RNA from 1 species